GAAUAUUGGACAAUGGGCGCAAGCCUGAUCCAGCCAUACCGCGUGGGUGAAGAAGGCCUUCGGGUUGUAAAGCCCUUUUGUUGGGAAAGAAAUCCUGCCGGUUAAUAACCAGUAGGGAUGACGGUACCCAAAGAAUAAGCACCGGCUAACUUCGUGCCAGCAGCCGCGGUAAUACGAAGGGUGCAAGCGUUACUCGGAAUUACUGGGCGUAAAGCG
rnacentral:rRNA from 1 species